rnacentral:rRNA from 1 species
UACGUAGGGGGCAAGCGUUGUCCGGAUUUAUUGGGCGUAAAGAGCUCGUAGGUGGUUCGGUAAGUCGGAUGUGAAAUCUCCAGGCUCAACCUGGAGGGGUCAUUCGAUACUGCCGUGACUAGAGUUCGGUAGGGGAGUGUGGAAUUCCUGGUGGAGCGGUGAAAUGCGCAGAUAUCAGGAGGAACACCCGUAGCGAAGGCGGCAUUCUGGGCCGAUACUGACACUGAGAGACGAAAGCUAGGGGAGCGAAUGGG